rnacentral:rRNA from 1 species
UUGACCUCGGAUCAGGUAGGGAUACCCGCUGAACUUAAGCAUAUCAAUAAGCGGAGGAAAAGAAACCAACCGGGAUUGCCUCAGUAACGGCGAGUGAAGCGGCAAAGAGCUCAAUUUGAAAGCUGGCUCCUUCGGGGUCCGCA